rnacentral:rRNA from 1 species
UGGGGAAUUUUGGACAAUGGGCGCAAGCCUGAUCCAGCAAUGCCGCGUGAGUGAAGAAGGCCUUCGGGUUGUAAAGCUCUUUUGUCAGGGAAGAAACGGCUCAGGCUAAUAUCCUGGGCUAAUGACGGUACCUGAAGAAUAAGCACCGGCUAACUACGUGCCAGCAGCCGCGGUAAUACGUAGGGUGCAAGCGUUAAUCGGAAUUACUGGGCGUAAAGCGUGCGCAGGCGGUUUUGUAAGUCUGUCGUGAAAGCCCCGGGCUUAACCUGGGAAUUGCGAUGGAGACUGCAAGGCUUGAAUCUGGCAGAGGGGGGUAGAAUUCCACGUGUAGCAGUGAAAUGCGUAGAGAUGUGGAGGAACACCGAUGGCGAAGGCAGCCCCCUGGGUCAAGAUUGACGCUCAUGCACGAAAGCGUGGGGAGCAAACA